GUAAAAUAAUAUCGGUAUACGACAAACGAGAGGCGUGUAAAGUGGAAAGAAGACAUAUUAUACUUAAUUGAUUUAUGAGAUCCCUUUGAUACAAAACGAAUGGCACUGUAUAUUAAAGAAAAGUUUGCUCCCGAUUUGGAGUCUUAAGCCAAAGACAUAGCCGUCUGUUUAAAGUGUUUCAAUGGAGGGAACUAUUAUAAAUGACCAUCAUAUGUGAGAAAAACCUGUGCACUUAUUAGUGCCUGCAAGCGUCUCUCAAGCAGGAUGACCUCAAUUAUAAUAAACAGAUAUUUUCCUAUGUAAAAAUAAUCUAUAUUUUAUUAUAUUCACAUUUUAAAUAUCAA